AACAAAGUGAAAUGUCAAGUGAGUGGUGCUAAAGGCAUGUUCAGUUUUAUCUAAAACAUGAACAUGAAUCUGACAAUACUUUAUUACAUAGGUUGUUGUAUAUAUCUCGACAGUUCGUAAAUCAAAUGUCUGGUCACGGGCUGGAGGACGGAGGAGCGACAAAAUGAGGAAAGAUCAGUUUGAGUAUUGAGAAGCACUCAUGUUCUUCUGUGGAUUUACUGGAGGAUUGCAAACCAACUGAAAAGGUGCAUACUGCCACCUACUGUGAUGGAGUGUGAUGAAGAUGGAAUACAUAGAAGAUUGUCUAUAUUCUGUUUUUCAAACCACUGUUUCCCAUGAACUUCAUUAUUGUUGAACCAGUUUCUGGUCUGAUAUUUAAAAUACUGCAUUAAGUGAAUUCUGUAAUACCAAAGGCUUCCAAUUCUCUUACAAAAAUUAAUUUUUUUCUGUUCAUAUUUAAUGCAUCUAAUCAAAACAUGUUGUAUGGUUUCCAUUUCCGGGCAUAUACCGCAUAAACCUGAGUUGUGUUUGCCCAUGAUAUGAAGUGUUGCAUUAAAUUUAGUGUGACCCACACUAAAUUUA